GGUAGCUCAGUGCUAGAGUGCUUGCCUUGCAUGCAUGAGACCCUGGGUUCAAUUCCUCAGUACCA
rnacentral:tRNA from 1 species